CAACGGGCCCAAGAACACACCUGAGGCCAUUUAGGGAAGCUCCUGGUUGGGGAAAAGGGGGCGGAUCAGAACAUUUCUGUGGGACACUAAUACAGAAUAUUAACAUCAAUACAUCAGCCCCUGAUAGGAAGGAGCACAGAAAACAAAACCAUGUCCAUAGCAACAGGAUCUGGCUGAAUAACAAAAACAAACCUCAGGAGGAUGAAAUCAUCUGAAUUUGAAAAAGGCAAUUAAUUGAGACUUACAGGUUGCUGCAGUUCUGGCACAAAAGGAAACUUACUUACUGUUACUUGUGUGAUAUCAAAAAAUCCCAUUUGGUUUCAUUGACAGAGAGGAGGAAACACUCAUUUGCAUCAGUUGCAUAUAUUCAUCACCAAUCUUUCAAGCCUGCGCUCUUUGUCUGCCUUCUCUUCUGCCGGUGAGCAGAUGGCAUUACCUGUGCCAGCCUCAACUCUGCUCUUCUGAUGUGCUCUCACGCAAGGAAAAGAGUGAAAAAAGAAAGAUCUAACACCUACCGUUCCCAGAGAUGCGGUUCCCCACGUCUCGGUGUCCAGCCUGCCUUGUAGAGACACUAAGUUGCAGAUAGAGUCCCAGUGGCCAAAGGAGGUGUUUUUCCACUAACCCAGGGGGAAUGAUUUGGGUGAAAAGGAAAUUAAUUCCAUUUGGUUUGCCGACUUGACUGAUGACCUUAUGCAUAAUUAUAUGCAAAAAUGUGCUAAUUAAAGAUGACUGGAAUAUGCUAUAUUUUA